UACGUAGGCAGCGAGCGUUGUUCGGAGUUACUGGGCGUAAAGGGUGUGUAGGCGGUUGUUUAAGUUUGGUGUGAAAUCUCCCGGCUCAACUGGGAGGGUGCGCCGAAUACCGAAUGACUAGAGUGCGGGAGAGGUGAGUGGAAUUCCUGGUGUAGCGGUGAAAUGCGCAGAUAUCAGGAGGAACACCGGUGGUGUAGACGGCUCACUGGACCGUAACUGACGCUGAGACACGAAAGCGUGGGUAGCAAACAGG
rnacentral:rRNA from 1 species